GACGAACGCUGGCGGCGUGCUUAACACAUGCAAGUCGAGCGAGGCCCCUCCUUCGGGAGGGUGUCCUAGCGGCGAACGGGUGAGUAACACGUGGGCAACCUGCCCUCAGCUCUGGGAUAACUCCGGGAAACCGGGGCUAAUACCGGAUACGACCUCCACGGUCCUCUGCGGAGGUGGAAAGUUUUUCGGCUGAGGAUGGGCCCGCGGCCUAUCAGCUAGUUGGUGGGGUAGUGGCCCACCAAGGCGACGACGGGUAGCCGGCCUGUGAGGGCGAACGGCCACACUGGGACUGAGAGACGGACCAGACUCCUACGGGAGGCAGCAGGGGGGAAUAUGGCGCAAUGGGCGAAAGCCUGACGCAGAGACGCCGCGUGAGGGACGAAGGCCUUCGGGGUGUAAACCGCUUUCAGCAGGGACGAAGCGAAAGUGACGGUACCUGCAGAAGAAGCACCGGCCAACUACGUG
rnacentral:rRNA from 1 species